GAGAGGACUCUCCAUCACCGCCGGCUCCGUCUCUCCCUCUCAUCUCUCUCUGUCAGCCGGGGUUAACGCGCGCCACCAUUAACCCAUCCUGUCCUAAUACAAGGAGAGCAUCCCAACUUCUCUUUCAACUACAUGACCCUAUGACCUCUCAGGGCUGGUUUCACAAAGACCUGUUAGUUCAGUUUACAAAGCAGGCCUUGCCCAGUGCACACACAGACGAACUGGCCAGCGCUUAGGCCAGUGCUAAGCUGAUGAAUCAUAUCAAACAAUUACCCUGUUUUCCCAUAGAGGAGGAUGGAGAGCUGUGAUGGCAGAGUCGACAAAGUCUCAAUCCCUGCAGACCAUGAGAACAUUUUCUGGCCGCAACUUCAGACGCUGUGUGAUCUGCCCAUCCCGUCGCGUGCGAGAACACAGACACGUCUGUCAGCCGGCCAUGUCCUGAUUCUCCUGUUGGAUUGUCCAGUUCCCUCUGCACCGCAGUCCACGUCACUCCACGUCACUCCACUGUUGUCCAGGGCAGGCUGCAGACAGACGUGCUACCUCCAGUUGCUUCAUUUCACCUGCCACUGAUGAGCUUUGGAGAGUCUAACAUGUGAUUCACACUAUACCACCUAUUUCAUACCAACCAGUAUGUGUAGCAACACAAAGUCCCACACCGGCUUCCUACGUGCAAACAUGGCCAACUGUGUUCGUUGGAACAUACAACCAAGCCGAAGGUACCAUUACUGGGAACCGAUCCCAGAAUCUUUAUGGUGGAGGGACAGAGCUUUACCCCCGUGCACCCAGGCUUUUUGUUAUCAACAAAUCCUGUGAAGAGAUCAAAACCAGCAAUGAAUUUA